GACGAACGCUGGCGGCGUGCUUAACACAUGCAAGUCGAACGGAAAGGCCCUGCUUUUGUGGGGUGCUCGAGUGGCGAACGGGUGAGUAACACGUGAGUAACCUGCCCUUGACUUUGGGAUAACUUCAGGAAACUGGGGCUAAUACCGGAUAGGAGCUCCUGCUGCAUGGUGGGGGUUGGAAAGUUUCGGCGGUUGGGGAUGGACUCGCGGCUUAUCAGCUUGUUGGGGGGGUAGUGGCUUACCAAGGCUUUGACGGGUAGCCGGCCUGAGAGGGUGAACGGCCACAUUGGGACUGAGAUACGGCCCAGACUCGUACGGGAGGCAGCAGUGGGGAAUAUUGCACAAUGGGCGGAAGCCUGAUGCGGCAACGCCGCGUGCGGGAUGAAGGCCUUCGGGUUGUAAACCGCUUUAGCCUGUGACGAAGCGUGAGUGACGGUAAUGGGUAAAGAAGCACCGGCUAACUACGUG
rnacentral:rRNA from 1 species